UUCUGCGUUAGAGAAGGAUUUUCCUUCCCAAUUAGGUGAUCUCAGGCAACCUUGUGAGUGCCAAUUUCCACAUUUGUAAAAUGAGAAUAAGCCUACCUAUCCAACUGACCACAACAGAGCUGGGGUGAGGAUAAAAUGAAAUGAUGUGAAAGACUUUUGUUACACACAGACAGAUGCAUCAACAAAGAAUCUAGGAAGAAAGGGCUCACUGAUAAUUUCCUUUCACCGUUUCUCUGCAUUACAUUUGGUUUCUGGAUCUAACACGACUGUAGUAUACAAGGUCUGUCCAAGAGGGGCGGUGGCUAAAGAUCAUGUUGAGAAUACAUGACCUUGGUGUGCAAGGUAAAAAGGAGGGACUAAGGAAGGCAGUUGGAAAAGAAACAUAUAGAAGGGGCCAAGAGAAACUAAGGACUCUGAACAAACCACCUGUCAGCAGUUUGUGGGCAGGCUCCAGACUCAGCGAGAAUGGAGGGAACUUACUACAUCUCGUGGAAGGAAGACCUCACAUGGCCAAGUGGUCAGUCCUCCCCAAAUGGAUCCCUGCCUUUGACACAAUCCCAAUCAAAAUUGCAGUGAGAGUUUUUUGAACUUGGAA